rnacentral:rRNA from 1 species
UACGGGGGGAGCAAGCGUUGUUCGGAUUUACUGGGCGUAAAGAGCUCGUAGGCGGUCUGUCGCGUCGGCUGUGAAAACCCGGGGCUCAACCCCGGGCCUGCAGUCGAUACGGGCAGACUAGAGUGCGGUAGGGGAGACUGGAAUUCCUGGUGUAGCGGUGAAAUGCGCAGAUAUCAGGAGGAACACCGGUGGCGAAGGCGGGUCUCUGGGCCGUAACUGACGCUGAGAAGCGAAAGCGUGGGGAGCGAACAGG